GCUCCGCCCAUGGUCGGCCUUGGAGGGGUUCUCGCGGUGGAGGUUGCGGUGAGAGGUGCCUUGAGGUCUUCUCGCCGGGGCCUCCAGGCCCUCCGGCCUUGGAGCGGGCGGGUGAGCUGGGCCCCCCCCCCCGGGCACAGGCUGGCGACUGUGUCCUGCCAGAGCUCCAGAGCCCUCCCAUGGCCGCCCACGGGCCAGGCCUAGGCUUGAAGCAGCGGCGAACCUCUCCCCAUCCCGGCCUCGGCGACCUGCCGGUGGCGGCAGUCACCCUGGGUCUCGGUGCACAGACCGCCCCCCCCCCCCCCCACUCUGGUCCCGUUUGGGUGGCCUGAGGAGCCUGCGGGCCGGCUGAGUCCUGGGCGCCGGACUCCCUCGGUAAUGACGGCUGGGUACCGUCUGGGGACCUGGCCUGAGGGCGCCAGCAGCUGAGAGCUGCCUCUUCAGCCGUGCCUGGGCGCUGGCGGGAGGACCCAGUCAGGGUGACCGGCCCGCGCAGGGACCCCGUCCUCUUAGCCGGGGCCUGGACCUCGGAGAGUGAAAGUUGUGCCUUGGGACCUUGCCCUUUCUUGUCAGAACAGAGACUAGCAUUUGUUUGGUGGAGAUUUAGAAGAACAUUGUGACCUGGCCAUGACCUGACCUCCAGAACAAAGGAUCUGCCGCAAGGAAAUUUGCAGCAACUAACCACGCCCCUCCCUCACCUUUCCUAGAAAAGGGCUUUGCUGAAAUAUUUCGGAGAGUUUGGGGUUUUAAAGGCAUGAGCCACCCCCUCCUUGCAGCGCCCCGCAAUAAACCUUUCUCUGCUCGAAACUCCGACAGUUUGGUAUUGUUUGGCCUCACUGUGCGUUGGGCGCAUGGACCUGCGUUCGGUAACAGUCGGACUUCUACUGCUGAACAUCCAAUCUGCCAGUAGAAGAGACCAAAGCUGAGUAAGUCUAUGACACCAUCCCAUCAGUAAGGCCAGCCAGCUGCUAUUGACUGUUCAUUUGCCCUGGACCCCUUCUACUUUGGAAAAGACAAUUCAUCUUCACUAGGAUUGACAUUGGGUAACAGUUUGCCUUUUCUGUCUGCAUCAUUACUCAGCCAGCACCGUUCCUCCCAAGGCUUACAGAGGGCUUGAUCUUCCAACAUGCAAUCUUGCAUAGCAUCUUGUCAGUCCAAGCGUGGGCAGAGGGAGCAUGGCAGUGGGCACAUGAACAGGGGAUCCACUGGUCUUACCAUGUACUCUACCAUCCAGAAGCUGCCGGCUAGAUAGGACAGUGGAAUGGCCUCUUCAAAGUGCCGCUGAGGCAUCUCUUUUGAGAUGACACCCUCUAAAGAUGGGGCGUUUCCUUUGGUGCUGGGUCGCCAGUCGACAGACCACAUGGGUCCAAGAACAAGCAGUGGAAGUUGGAGUACCUCCUACAACUGUUAUUCCCAGUGACCUUGAAGAAUCUGUGCUUCCUGCUUCUGAAUCUGUGAGUCUCCGGGUCGUGGUUCCUGAAAGACUGGUGCUUCCGUCAGAGGACACAGUUCAGCGCGUCAGGAUACCUGGAUUCCUGUCCUGGCUCUGACAUUCAUUCGCUGGAGAAUUGGGGUGAAUAUCUUCUCCCCCUCCUGCCUCAGACUGGGUCCCCUGCUCCCUCAUCUGACUGUACGUGGUGGCCAUGCCCCAGACAGCAGCCUUGACCUCAAGUUUAUCCAGCCCUCCAGCUCCACAGCCCAAUGCUGACCUCAGUGCCUGCCUCUACCAGGAGAGAAGGUUGCUUGGUCCAUGGAGUUAUGGCUGGACUAACUCCAGAUGAAUGGUUAUUCCCAGAAGACGCUGAGGGAUCUGCACAGAGUGGACGGUGGGACAGGUCUGUGGGUGCUGGCGUGGCAGGCAGAUCUUGUUCCAGGAAUGCUGCCCACUUCGUAGGCUGUGACCGAGGAGGACCCAGCAACCGGAAGAUGAGAGCUCAGAUGCGAUGGUUGGAGUUUGGGCCUUUAUCUUUGAUCAUGAGAACACGGUCUCAUUGGGACAGACUGGGACCUGGGACCUGGGACUCUUUACUGCAGAGCUUGCACCUGGGCAAACGUCUCCUUGAGCAACAAAAUACAAAGAGACUAUGAGGGCCUAAAAAUAACUGCAUGCAUGCACAGUUGGGGCAAAUUAUGGACAAGACACAAAAAGACCAAAAACUCAACUGCCACUUCUGAAGAACUGGGAGCAAAAACAGGGUGCCGGGAGCAAAAACAGGGUGCCGGGAGCAAAAGCAGGGUCCUACGCAUGCCCCCUGCACACAACACCACCUAAGGGGUGGGCAGACCACCUCAGCCACCUCUCGGCCCGACCCCUGGACCAUCCCUACCCUCACCCCAUAUAAGGACCCCCCCCUCGGGACGUGAGCAAGGGAACUUGUUACUUGUUUUCACUCCCUCCUGCUGUAGCAGGGGCCCC